rnacentral:lncRNA from 1 species
UAAAUUCCGAGGCAGAGGAUCCUGAUGCGGAAGCUUCUUUUUGCACAAGUUCCACAAGGCUGUGUAUCUAGGAUCUAAGGGAGCUGGCCCAGCUCUGCAGCCCCUGUCCCGUGUUAAAGAGACUAGCACUUUGGGUAUGUCUCAGUGAAGGUCCUACAGAAGAUGGGGGCCCAGGGUUGGAAUGAAGAGCGGCUGUCAGGAAGAGGCUGGGCUGAGGCCAGGAAUCCUGGCUUUCCCCACUGGGGUACAGCAUAAAAAUUGCUUGCCCCUGGGAGUGAGAGCAGCUGGGGUGGGGGCCCCACAGAGUCUCACACUGUCUCAUCUGUGUCUACUCUGUCCCAGGUUUCUGAUGAAGAGCUAUCUGCAGGCUCAAGCGUCCCCAGGCGCCACACCACAGAAGCCUCUCCCUCAGUCCGUCAUGUAUAUUGCCACACAAAGGCCAGCCAGGUGCUCAGCCCAGACUGCAGCUGACUUCCGCUGCCCAGAUGUCUAUACCACAGCCUGGGCAUAUGUGUCUACCAGGCUCAUAAGAGAUGCAGCACACCGUACACAGACCCUCAUGAAGUCCGGGGUUGACC